AAAAAUUAUCGUAGUUAUAUUUACAGUGCUUUUCGGCAGCGCCUUAUCAGUUGUUUUGAUUUAGUUUAGCACAAUGGCCGAAGAUGAGGAACAGCUUACUGAGAGUAAUCCUAACAUUAAUACAAUUAGUGAAUUACCGGCGAAGAAAUUCUCUAUUACGAUGGAGUUCCCCUUGUUUGUUGUGAUGAUGGCAAUGUCGCUCUCUGAUAUAAACCUUAUGACUAUGCUGAAUGAAUCAUUUUGGAGCGGCAAUGAGCAACAUUAUACUCUACCGAACAUGCGUACACGGUUUGAACCACACGGAAGACGAAUGCAGGCCAUUCCUCUCACCAGACAAAAACAACCAGACGCAUGGCUUAGAAGCUGAAGUUCAGAAGUACGCGACAAUCGUUGGAACAGUAAGGGGUAUCAUAGAAGCGGUAGUGCCAGCGAUUCUGUCCUUCUUCCUAGGAGUAUGGUCUGACACGCAUGGACGAAAACCGCUGAUUGUGUGGCCGCUUUUGGGUAUAACAUUUUCUUCUGGAAUGUUCGUGGUCUACAGUAUGAUGGACAAUUUGGGACCCUGGUGGUUCAUUUUGACAGUCAUCCCUUAUUCCCUCAGUGGGGGAUUUACAAUAUUUUUUACUGGGGCAUUUUGUUACAUGAGUGACAUCACGACGGUUGAGAAUAGAUCUCUUAGAAUGACCCUUAUGGAAGCUACUGUGGGACUAGGCAGUGUAGUGGGAGGUUUAUUAAGUCCUUAUGUCUUAAGGAUGGUUGGGAAUGUGUAUCUACUGUUGAUAUCUGCAGCGUUGAAUGUUAUAGCAUACGUAUUUUCAAAUGUUUGUUUGAGGGAAUCAUUAAAUGGAGCAAUACAGGGUGGUAUCACUUCAGUAUUAGACUUCUUAUUAGUCAAAGAGAUGAUGAGAGAAUGUUUCAAACGGCGACCAAACAAUGGCCGGGCACAAAUACUUCUCCUAACGGUCGCUAACUGCUUGUCCAUAUUUACACUGUACGGACUUAUAGGUCUGGAAUAUCUCUACGUGAGGAAAAAACUUAAUUGGGCAAUGAAAGAGUAUACGCAAUUUUCAGCUUCGAGUACUGUGAUAGGUUUUAUCGGAUCUUUUAUAGGCAUUGUCAUACUACAAAAACUAUUUAGAAUAAGUGACUUAGUUAUAACAAAUUUAGCAUUUUUAACGACAAUAGUUGAAUACGUUAUUAGAACGUUUGCUACGAAGUCAUGGCACAUGUACUUGGGAGCCUCAGUAUCGUCGCUCAAAGGUCUAAGUGCGCCUUUGAUCCGAUCGUUUUUGACAAAAAUAUUGCCCGUUGUGGAUAUAGCGAAGGUGUUUUCGUUGAUGUCAGCGAUCGAAGGCCUGUGUCCAUUGUUCUCUCCUUUGCUCUUCAACUCGCUGUAUCAGUUCACCGUCACAACAUUCCCAGGAUCGAUUUAUAUGCUCAGCAGUGGAGUUGCUCUUAUUAGCGCCGUGUGCAUAUCGGUGGUUCAAUAUUAUCGAUGGAAUGUGUCAUCGCCAUACCAGCCUUUGGCUUCAGCAUAGUAUAUUUUAAGAUAUUCUGAAGUCAUGAAUAAUACGUUGUACCAGUCUUUAGAGCAAUACAGUUCUGUAGUGAGUGACCAGAUAAUACAUAAUAAGCUUCUAGUAGGCUGGUAAUAUCACUUGAUGGCACUUUACCGUAGUUACUUAGUAAGUAAGAAGACUGAAAAUGUCAUAUCUAUCAAUGAAAACCGACGAACAUAUGAACAGCACGUGGUUGCACUGUGGUAUUAAUUAAGUAAAAAUAUUUUCUAUAAGUUUUAGGUUUGGAUUGGAACGUUUUUAUUAGAAUCAAAGUAAUGUGAUAUGUAGGAUUUAAGAUUUCACGAUACCCGAUGGUAGUAAAAUAUGUUUAAAGAUUUUUAAAAGUUAGGCAUCAUAAUAAUGUAUUUACUUCAAUUACAUGAAAGAAAACUGUUUCUGACGAAGUUUCCAAGCUGAUCAGAAAACGGAUUCAAAUGUCUAAAAGAAAUGUAUGUUUUAUAUCGCCAUAAUGCCUGUGGGGUUAAUGCACCCAUUCACAUUUUAUAUUAAUAUUCAAUAUAUUCAAUGAAGCUAGUGAUGACUUUUAUAAAUUAUUAUUUUCUUCAUUUUUAUAAAAAUAUAAAAUUCUUGUUUGCAAUUAAAAAGAUUUAGGUAUUGGAACACAAAUUUAUGGAGACGCUGAUUUUGUCGAAUAAUAACAAUAACUUGUUGGUUAUUAUUUUUGAAUAAAAACAUGUUAAUGCACCCAUACACGUUUUAUAUUAAUAUUCAAUGAAGUUUGUGAUGCUGCUCAAUAUGGACUUUUAGAAAUUAUUAUUUCCUUGAGUUUUAAUGGAAAUUUACACAUUAUAAUUCUUGUUUGCCAUAAAAACAAUAUAGGUAUUGGAAUAUGGAGACACUGAUAUUUUGUGGAAUGAUAAAUACUUGUUAGGUUAUUGCUUAUUUUUCUGUCAAGUUCAACAGCUUGGAAGAUACAAAGAUACCCAAUAUUGAAAUCUUAUCUAUAUAAUAUUAUAGGAAUGGAUUGUUAUUAUAAAAUAUUGGGGCAUAUCAUCUCAUACCCAAAUUUUAAUAGGCCUGAACUGGAUGUCCGCAAUUGAACACAAUUUCAGGCCUUCUAAGUCCGGCGAUCAAUAUUAACGAGUCCGGAGUUUUGAACUACGGCGCCUGGUUUCAAGUUUACUAGAUAUUUUUUUAAAUUAAUUUUCGGCUUGAAAAGCCAGUGAUAGAAUAAUCAGGAAAUCGUUGAAACGUUUUUGGCAUAUUGGUGCUAUUUGAUCAUUAUAGAAAAUUGAACACGCUAUUGUCGCAUUUAAGUUAGUAAAAUUAAUUGUGAAGAGGUACAUUAUAAAAUUAAACAAAUGACUCCUUA